rnacentral:tRNA from 1 species
GAGGGUAUAGCUCAGUCAAUGGUAGAGUGCAUGCUUAGGAUGCAUGAGGUCCUGGGUUCAAUCUUCAGCACCUCCA